rnacentral:tRNA from 1 species
GGUUGGCCUAGUGGUCAAGGCUUGGGACUUAAGCUCCUAAGGUCUCAGGUUCGAAACCUCUAAGGUGCU